GACGAACCGUGCAAACGUUGUUCGGAAUCACUGGGCUUAAAGGGCGCGUAGGCGGACCACCAAGUCAGGGGUGAAAUCCUGCGGCUCAACCGUAGAAGUGCCUUUGAUACUGGUGGUCUCGAGGGAGGUAGGGGCGUGCGGAACUUCCGGUGGAGCGGUGAAAUGCGUAGAUAUCGGAAGGAACACCGGUGGCGAAAGCGGCGCGCUGGACCUCUUCUGACGCUGAGGCGCGAAAGCCAGGGGAGCGAACGGG
rnacentral:rRNA from 1 species